rnacentral:rRNA from 1 species
GUGCACCAGUCGCGAAAACUCCGCAAUACGCGAAAGCGUGACGGGGCUACCCCGAGUGUCGUCCGCUGAGGACGACUUUUCCACGCUGUAAGGAGCCAAAGGAAUAAGAGGAGGGUAAGUCUGGUGUCAGCCGCCGCGGUAAUACCAGCUUCUCGAGUGGUGGGGGCGAUUAUUGGGCCUAAAGCGUCCGUAGCCCGCUUGUUAAGUCCUCCGUUAAAUCCGACGAUUCAAUCGUUGGGCCGCGGAGGAUACUGUCAAGCUAGGGGGCGGAAGAGGCUGACGGUAUUCUCAGGGUAGGGGUGAAAUCCUAUAAUCCUGGGAGGACCACCAGUGGCGAAGGCGGUCAGCUAGAACGCGCCCGACAGUGAGGGACGAAAGCUGGGGGAGCAAACCGGAUUAGAUACCCGUGUAGUCC